GAUACCAGGGUUCCAAAGUCAAACGCUGUUCGUGCUCGCACGAUAAAGCGUUUGACCUUGGAACCCGCCAAACAUGAGAAAGCAGCGAUUUACGCAGUAAAUCAGCGGAUUUCGAAUGUUUGCAGAAUUGCGGGAGCUGCUUUGCAGCGAAGCAAUUCGCAGGUAUC
rnacentral:sRNA from 1 species